AAAGGAGAACCAUAAAAACAUUGCUCAAUAACAUUAGCCAUUUUGAAAAACCCUUCAAAAACAAUAUAAUUCAAUCUCAAACAAAGACAUAUUGAGCGUUCUUCUAAUUAAUUUUGUACUAUGAAUCUUAAAUUUCUAUUACACCAAUGAACUAAAUUUCUGUGGAAUUUUAUACUUGGAAAUUACAAAAGGACUGCAUGAUAUUUCACCAUUGGCACAGUGUCAAAGCACUCAAACCGAACCCAAGAAUGUCAACAAACAACUAAACUUAUCAUCUUUGCUUGCAGUACUCCUGAAUGCAAAGGCGCUCUUCAUCCAUCUAGCUGAUUACAUAAUAGAGCACAAACAUCCACCUUUCUUCAUGGCAUUAUCUUGCAGUUUAUCUGAGGCAAGAGCAUUUAAAUAUUAGUGAUUAAAACAGGGAUUUGUGAUCCUAAAUUUAUAUGAAGACACAUACAAGGGAAUGGAAUCCUCGACUCNNN
rnacentral:lncRNA from 1 species